rnacentral:rRNA from 1 species
GAUGAAUGCUGGCGGCGUGCCUAACACAUGCAAGUCGAGCGGCAGCGCGAGUAGUUUACUACUUGGCGGCGAGCGGCGGACGGCUGAGUAACGCGUGGGAACAUGCCCCAAAGUGAGGGAUAACUGCUCGAAAGGGUAGCUAAUCCCGCAUAUGGUCUUCGGAGUAAAGGAUCUAUCCGCUUUGGGCGUGGCUUGCGUACGUUUGGGUAGUUGGUGAGGUAAUGGCUCACCAAGUCGACGAUCGUUAACUGGUCUGAGAGGAUGAUCAGUCAGACUGGAACUGAGACACGGUCCAGACUCCUACGGGAGGCAGCAGUGGGGAAUUUUGGACAAUGGGGGCAACCCUGAUCCAGCCAUGCCGCGUGAGUGAAGAAGGCCUUCGGGUUGUAAAGCUCUGUCGGCCGGGAAGAAAUCGCACAGGCUAAUACUCUGUGUGGAUGACGGUACCGGCAUAAGAAGCACCGGCUAAC